rnacentral:rRNA from 1 species
UACGUAGGCAGCGAGCGUUGUUCGGAGUUACUGGGCGUAAAGGGUGUGUAGGCGGUUGCUUAAGUUUGGUGUGAAAUCUCCCGGCUCAACUGGGAGGGUGCGCCGAAUACUGAGUGACUCGAGUGCGGGAGAGGAGAGUGGAAUUCCUGGUGUAGCGGUGAAAUGCGUAGAUAUCAGGAGGAACACCGGUGGUGUAGACGGCUCUCUGGACCGUAACUGACGCUGAGACACGAAAGCGUGGGGAGCGAACAGG